rnacentral:sRNA from 1 species
UUUUUCUCGAACAAACAGGAGAGCUGCAUAUCGUUAUAUUAAGAAGAAUAAAGGAGAUGGUAAGAACCCUUACAACACACACAAUAGACCUUCACGAUACC